CCCUAUGACUCUUCUACAGUUUUGCUGAAUUAACCAGUAGGUAUUAGGUAAUCUUUGUGCAGACCUUUGAGUGUUGAUUUCUUUUUGUUUAUAUCUAUCUAUCUAUCUAUCUAUCUAUCUAUCUAUAAAGGUUUGCACAAAGAUUGCCUAAUACCUAGUGGUUAAUCCAGCAAAACUGUAGAAGAAUCAUAGGGA